CAGGCCAGGCUCCGGGAGAUGUGGAAUUGGCGAAACAACUGCCCCAGUAGUAUCCUCCGCCUAGGACUCCAAGAGUUGGCGAAUUGGGGCGCUACGCCCCGGAACCAGGGUGGCAGGGCUAUAUGUCCUCUCACCAGACUGCCCAGUGAAGGUGCUGUCACUUUGAUGAAUUAUCAAGGCUUUGUAGUGGGUGUUCUACUGGACAAAGGACAAACUGGAGACUCCCUGGAUCAAAUGUGUUGAAAAUGUUAUAGUGCUGUUAGGAAGUGCUGUUCUGGAAUACAGAAUGUGACUGCCGUGAGUGGAGUGUGACUAUGAGAUAGUUGCCUGACUGGAGACAAUGAAGCCUCAGGCCAAGGAUGCUCCCUCCUACUCAGCCCUGUUUAGUGGGAUUUUUCAGCCCACUGUAAUGCCUACUGCUGCCUGUAAAGCCACCUAAGUGCAUCACUUGCUGGUGUUCACCAUGAUAACAACAAUGUAUGGGGACAGAAUAUGUUUCUAGAGCUGCUGGUGCCACUACUGAUAAGUUACUGGGUUCCCUGAAAUAAAACACCACAGUGCAGGGCUGGAGUACAGUGGCUCAAUCAUGGCUCACUGCAGCCUAGACCUCCCGGCUUCAAGUGA
rnacentral:antisense_RNA from 1 species